CAAAACCCUAAAAUCCCUUCGUUUCUCACUUUCUCUCUCUGAGUCUCUGAGCUCUUCCGCCGCCUCAAUCCCUCCUCCUCCGCCUCCUCCUCCGUCGCCAGUCGCCUCAACCGCGUCUCCAAUCUAAAGCCUCCUCCGCCUCCUCCUCCGUCGCCAGUCGCGAUUUUUUUUUCUCGCUUUGAUCAGAUGUUGUUCUUUGAUUCUGAUAUGGAAGGUGAGCCAGCUAACUUUAGAGAUGUAUUUCUUCAUAGCCAAGGUCUAGAAGGCAUUACAUUGUCAAUGGUAUGCAUUGCUUAACUGAAGCUGUUCCUGCUGGAUGCUUCUCAAAUUCGAUAAGUAUGACUGCCCUUUGCUGUUGCUGUGUAUUGGAGGAGUGCUGCUGCUUCUGAAGCAGGCAGAACUUACCCCUAGUUUCCAAGCUCUGGAAUGAAAUCCCUGCUCCUAUGUUUUCAUAGUCUAUAUACUUGUUACUCGCUUAGCCGGGGAAAAAAUAUAUUGUUGUUUUUUAUGUAGAUCUUGAAAAAACUGCAUGGUAAUGUUUAGAGACAUGGUUUAAAGCACAGUUAUGUGUAAAUAUGAUCUUUUAAUCA